rnacentral:rRNA from 1 species
UAUUAAAGUUGUUGCGUUAAAAAGCUCGUAGUUGGAUUUCUGGUUGAAGCGACCGGUCGGGCGUUGAUUCGUCUGCACUGGAGUCGGUUUUGGCCAUCCUCUAGGAAAGUGCGUCUGGUAUUAAGUUGUCGGGCGUAUGAUCCUGGUCUUUUACUUUGAAAAAAUUAGAGUGUUUAAAGCAGGCCUUCGCCUUGAAUACAUUAGCAUGGAAUAAUAAGAUAGGACUUUGGACUAUUUUGUUGGUUUGCAGACCGAAGUAAUGAUUAAUAGGGAUAGUUGGGGGUAUUUAUAUUCCGAUGUCAGAGGUGAAAUUCUUAGAUUUUCGGAAGAUAAACUUAUGCGAAAGCAUUUACCAAGGAUGUUUUCAUUAAUCAAGAACGAAAGUUAGGGGAUCGAAGAUGAUUAGAUACCAUCGUAGUCUUAACCAUAAACUAUGCCGACUCAGGAUUGGUGGACGUUUAUUUAAUGACUCCAUCAGCACUGUAUGAGAAAUCAAAGUCUUUGGGUUCCGGGGGGAGUAUGGUCGCAAGGCUGAAACUUAAAGGAAUUG